rnacentral:rRNA from 1 species
CAGCAGCCACGGGAAUACGUAGGGUGCAAGCGUUAAUCGGAAUUACUGGGCGUAAAGAGUGCGCAGGCGGUUUGUUAAGACAGAUGUGAAAUCCCCGGGCUUAACCUGGGAACUGCAUUUGUGACUGGCAAGCUAGAGUAUGGCAGAGGGGGGUGGAAUUCCGCGUGUAGCAGUGAAAUGCGUAGAUAUGCGGAGGAACACCGAUGGCGAAGGCAGCCCCCUGGGCCAAUACUGACGCUCAUGCACGAAAGCGUGGGGAGCAAACAGGAUUAGAUACCCCAGUAGUCCCUGUCUCUUAUAC